UACAGAGGGUGCGAGCGUUAAUCGGAAUUACUGGGCGUAAAGCGCGCGUAGGCGGCUUUGCAAGUCGGGUGUGAAAUCCCCAGGCUUAACCUGGGAACUGCAUUCGAGACUGCAUUGCUAGAGUAUGGGAGAGGGAAGUGGAAUUUCCGGUGUAGCGGUGAAAUGCGUAGAUAUCUGGAGGAACACCGGUGGCGAAGGCGGUUAGCUGGGGUCGGACUGACGCUGAGGCGCGACAGCGUGGGGAGCAAACAGG
rnacentral:rRNA from 1 species